rnacentral:rRNA from 1 species
AUGUACGCUAGCGGCAGGCCUAACACAUGCAAGUCGAGGGAGAGGUUACCUUCGGGUAACCAAAACCGGCGCACGGGUGCGUAACGCGUAUACAAUCUGCCUUUCACAUAGGGAUAGCCCGAAGAAAUUUGGAUUAAUACCUAAUGGUAUAUAAGAGCGGCAUCGUUUUUAUAUUAAAGCUACGGUGGUGAAAGAUGAGUAUGCGUUCUAUUAGCUAGUUGGAGAGGUAACGGCUCCCCAAGGCGACGAUAGAUAGGGGUUCUGAGAGGGAUGUCCCCCACACUGGUACUGAGAUACGGACCAGACUCCUACGGGAGGCAGCAGUGAGGAAUAUUGGACAAUGGUCGGAAGACUGAUCCAGCCAUGCCGCGUGCAGGAUGAAGGUCCUAUGGAUUGUAAACUGCUUUUGUAAGGGAAGAAUAAGGAGUACGUGUACUUUGAUGACGGUACCUUACGAAUAAGCAUCGGCUAACUCCGUG